GAUGAACGCUGGCGGCGUGCCUAAUACAUGCAAGUCGAGCGAAUGGAUUAAGAGCUUGCUCUUAUGAAGUUAGCGGCGGACGGGUGAGUAACACGUGGGUAACCUGCCCAUAAGACUGGGAUAACUCCGGGAAACCGGGGCUAAUACCGGAUAACAUUUUGAACCGCAUGGUUCGAAAUUGAAAGGCGGCUUCGGCUGUCACUUAUGGAUGGACCCGCGUCGCAUUAGCUAGUUGGUGAGGUAACGGCUCACCAAGGCAACGAUGCGUAGCCGACGUGAGAGGGUGAUCGUCCACACUGGGACUGAGACACGGCCGAGACUCCUACGGGAGGCAGCAGUAGGGAAUCUUCCGCAAUGGACGAAAGUCUGACGGAGCAACGCCGCGUGAGUGAUGAAGGCUUUCGGGUCGUAAAACUCUGUUGUUAGGGAAGAACAAGUGCUAGUUGAAUAAGCUGGCACCUUGACGGUACCUAACCAGAAAGCCACGGCUAACUACGUGCCAGCCGCCGCAGUAA
rnacentral:rRNA from 1 species